GAUGAACGCUAGCGGGAGGCCUAACACAUGCAAGCCGAGCGGGAUUUGUUGGUUAGCUUGCUAACUAACAAUGAGAGCGGCGUACGGGUGCGUAGCACGUGUGCAACCUGCCUUUAUCUGGGGUAUAGCCUUUCGAAAGGAAGAUUAAUACCCCAUAACAUAUUGAUUGGCAUCAGUUAAUAUUGACAGCUCCGGCGGAUAGAGAUGGGCACGCGUAAGAUUAGCUAGUUGGUGAGGUAACGGCUCACCAAGGCUGCGAUCUUUAGGGGGCCUGAGAGGGGGAGCCCCCACACGGGUACUGAGACACGGACCAGACUCCUACGGGAGGCAGCAGUGAGGAAUAUUGGACAAUGGGUGAGAGCCUGAUCCAGCCAUCCCGCGUGAAGGACUAAGGACCUAUGGUUGGUAAACUUCUUUUAGACAGGGAUAAACCUACUCUCGUGAGGGUAGCUGAAGGUACUGGAUGAAUAAGCACCGGCUAACUCCGUG
rnacentral:rRNA from 1 species